UGUGACAUUUUAUAUUAGAGAGACUGCUAAGGGUAGAAGAUAGAGCUCUGUAAAAUCAUGGCUGCUGUGGAGAAAGUAAAUAAGGAAGUGUUAUUUACUCCUCAUAACACAAGAACUAGGGGCCACCAAGUGAAAUUAAUAGGCAGUAGGUUUAAAACAAACAAAAGGAAGUAUUUUUUC